UCCCUCAUAGCUCAGUCGGUAAAGAAUCUGCCUGCAGUGCAGGAGACCCAGGUUCAAUCCCUGGGUUGGGAA
rnacentral:tRNA from 1 species